UCGAUUUAGGCCNUGCUAGUUGUGCGGGUUUAGACCCGCAGCGGAAAGCUCAGUAACACGUGGCCAAGCUACCCUGUGGACGGGAAUACUCUCGGGAAACUGAGGCUAAUCCCCGAUAACGCUUUGCUCCUGGAAGGGGCAAAGCCGGAAACGCUCCGGCGCCACAGGAUGCGGCUGCGGUCGAUUAGGUAGACGGUGGGGUAACGGCCCACCGUGCCCAUAAUCGGUACGGGUUGUGAGAGCAAGAGCCCGGAGACGGAAUCUGAGACAAGAUUCCGGGCCCUACGGGGCGCAGCAGGCGCGAAACCUUUACACUGUACGAAAGUGCGAUAAGGGGACUCCGAGUGUGAAGGCAUAGAGCCUUCACUUUUGUACACCGUAAGGUGGUGCACGAAUAAGGACUGGGCAAGACCGGUGCCAGCCGCCGCGGUAAUACCGGCAGUCCGAGUGAUGGCCGAUCUUAUUGGGCCUAAAGCGUCCGUAGCUGGCUGAACAAGUCCGUUGGGAAAUCUGUCCGCUUAACGGGCAGGCGUCCAGCGGAAACUGUUCAGCUUGGGACCGGAAGACCUGAGGGGUACGUCUGGGGUAGGAGUGAAAUCCUGUAAUCCUGGACGGACCGCCGGUGGCGAAAGCGCCUCAGGAGAACGGAUCCGACAGUGAGGGACGAAAGCUAGGGUCUCGAACCGGAUUAGAUACCCGGGUAGUCCUAGCUGUAAACGAUGUCCGCUAGGUGUGGCGCAGGCUACGAGCCUGCGCUGUGCCGUAGGGAAGCCGAGAAGCGGACCGCCUGGGAAGUACGUCUGCAAGGAUGAAACUUAANGGAAUUGGCGGGGGAGCACUACAACCGGAGGAGCCUGCGGUUUAAUUGGACUCAACGCCGGACAUCUCACCAGCCCCGACAGUAGUAAUGACGGUCAGGUUGAUGACCUUACCCGAGGCUACUGAGAGGAGGUGCAUGGCCGCCGUCAGCUCGUACCGUGAGGCGUCCUGUUAAGUCAGGCAACGAGCGAGACCCGCACUCCUAAUUGCCAGCAGUACCCUUUGGGUAGCUGGGUACAUUAGGUGGACUGCCGCUGCCAAANNGGAGGAAGGAACGGGCAACGGUAGGUCAGUAUGCCCCGAAUGGGCUGGGCAA
rnacentral:rRNA from 1 species